GACGAACGCUGGCGGCGUGCUUAACACAUGCAAGUCGAACGGAAAGGCCCUGCUUUUGUGGGGUGCUCGAGUGGCGAACGGGUGAGUAACACGUGAGUAACCUGCCCUUGACUGUGGGAUAACUUCAGGAAACUGGGGCUAAUACCGGAUAGGAGCUCCUGCUGCAUGGUGGGGGUUGGAAAGUUUCGGCGGUUGGGGAUGGACUCGCGGCUUAUCAGCUUGUUGGUGGGGUAGUGGCUUACCAAGGCUUUGACGGGUAGCCGGCCUGAGAGGGUGACCGGCCACAUUGGGACUGAGAUACGGCCCAGACUCCUACGGGAGGCAGCAGUGGGGAAUAUUGCACAAUGGGAGGAAGCCUGAUGCAGCAACGCCGCGUGCGGGAUGACGGCCUUCGGGUUGUAAACCGAUUUCGCCUGUGACGAAGCGUGAGUGACGGUAAUGGGUAAAGAAGCACCGGCUAACUACGUG
rnacentral:rRNA from 1 species